AAAACGGUAAAGUUAUGGAAAAGAAAACUUUAAAAAUUCUUUAUACGUGUGGCUACGCCUGGUUGGUGGGUUAAAUAUGAUCAUUUAAAUGAGAAAAUGUAUACUAGUGCAACUUGUAAUCUGGGUGUUAUAACAUCACAACCACAUCUAUGGUCAACUCUAAGAUCACCUUAUUUUGUUUGGCAGUGUUUUGGAAUCAAGUUAUGGCAAUAUUUUGUGUAUAAAAUAUAACAAUUACAUUUAAAAAGUGCUUAUUUCUGACAAAAA